rnacentral:lncRNA from 1 species
CACAGUCGUCCUCAUCUUGUUUAAGUAUGGCUUACUUCUCUGAGGGUCUUUGAUCCCCUGACUGCAGACACUCUGGCACCAGGGAGCCUUAAAGGUCAAGGAGUGAAGAUACACACAGAGGUUUGGAUGUGGUCUGUUUGCCAAGAGUUCACAUGCCAGGGGCUUGGUCUCCAGUGUGGAAGGCUAAAAGAUUGUAGAGUCUUAAGAAAUGGACUAACAUGCAUGGUUACUACAAGAAAGGUCAUUUGAUUUCAUGGGGCUCUUGGGGCCAUCACAGAGUCUCAGAAUCUGCGUUCUGGAGAAGCUCACCUGUGAUGUAUAAAGGCUCUCUGCUAACAAAAUCGUGUUCACGUUCAAAUCAGAAAGCGGGAUGAUGGACACUGUAAUGCAGCUGUGUGCUCCUUCUCCCUUGUUCUCGAAAC